rnacentral:rRNA from 1 species
AUUGAACGCUGGCGGCAGGCUUAACACAUGCAAGUCGAGCGGGGAAGGGUAGCUUGCUACCUAACCUAGCGGCGGACGGGUGAGUAAUGCUUAGGAAUCUGCCUAUUAGUGGGGGACAACAUUCCGAAAGGAAUGCUAAUACCGCAUACGCCCUACGGGGGAAAGCAGGGGAUCUUCGGACCUUGCGCUAAUAGAUGUGCCUAAGUCAGAUUAGCUAGUUGGUGGGGUAAAGGCCUACCAAGGCGACGAUCUGUAGCGGGUCUGAGAGGAUGAUCCGCCACACUGGGACUGGGACACGGCCCAGACUCCUACGGGAGGCAGCAGUGGGGAAUAUUGGACAAUGGGUGCAAGCCUGAUCCAGCCAUGCCGCGUGUGUGAAGAAGGCCUUUUGGUUGUAAAGCACUUUAAGCGAGGAGGAGGCUACCGAGAUUAAUACUCUUGGAUAGUGGACGUUACUCGCAGAAUAAGCACCGGCUAACUCUGUGCCAGCCGCCGCUGUAACAC